rnacentral:lncRNA from 1 species
AAGGAUUAUACAGUAGAAUGAAUCAUAUAAAGCCAAAUUGUUCAUGAGAAACUCAAAGGACAAGAAAAUAUUACAAUAACAUGGGAACAGAAAAUUUAUCUGGUCUUAGUUUACAACAUGUUUGAGACUUAAUUUAAGGUCUACAUGAUCAAUGCAGACUUCGCAUAAAAGAUUCAAACUUAAAUAUCAUGUUCAUCUAGAUCGUAGAUCUCAAAGUGAAGAACAAGAGGUAGUAAAACAGGAAGCAAUUAAAAAGAUGAUUCAACACAUAAACUGAAUCAAGAAUUUAGCAUCAGAAAAGAAAACAGGGCACAUUGUUUUGUUUCUCUGGAUCUAGUAAUUGAUAAAAUCAAUAUUGAUCAAUAAAACAAAAAACAGAAAUUCAGAAGACAUAAAAAUGCCUAGAAAAUUCAUAAAAAAAAAAUAUACCAAAAAAAAAGUAAAUUCAUCAUGGAAACACAUAAGUAACAUGUAAGGACCUUUCGCAGAAACCACCAAAAAAAUAAAAGAUACACAUGAAACUACCAAAAAUCCAAACCCACGAAGCAAUUCCCAAAGAAAAGACUGAUUUCCAUAUAAAUAAUACACCAGAAAAAAAUGAUACAUCUCCAGAGGACCAAAUAGAAACCUAAAAGGAAAAUAAUAUACACACAGAAAAUCGCUAGUAGAGAUGAAAGAAGAUGAGAAGGAAGAUAAACAUAAAGUAACUCAUCAAGCCAUCAAAAGUUUUUGAAUGUCAUCAGGUGGUACCAAGAAACAUAAGACCCAUAUUCCAAUACCAUCUCUUUAACCCAAAGAAUUUUAAAUCCCAUGAUCCAACAAUCCAAUGAGAAAUACGACAAAAAUACAAGGAUAGAGAGAGAGAGAGGUUUAGAUGGCUCCCUUUCACAAUCUUCCCAAGCCCUCAAUAUAUGGACCAGCUGCUACUGUCGCUAAUCGCUUGGGAUGGUAGAGGUAUUGCAGGCAUCAGUGGAGAUGGUGGACGAGGCUUACACGAGCACAUGCCGGCCAUAGGUGUCGAGAGCCAGAGGAUUAGGAGGAAAAGGGGAUGUGGAAUGCGCGUGGGAUGGAGGAAAUGGAG